AUGAACCGCUAUGGUAUGCCAUUCAUACCUUUUGUUGGUCUUAACAAUCACCGGAAGACUACUGUUUUUGGUUGUGCCAUUGUUUCGGACGAGACCGAGGAGACAUACGUGUGGCUUCUGCAGACUUUUUUGAGGUCCAUGUGUCAAAAGAUGCCUAAGAGUGUUAUCACAGACGCCGACGCUGCGAUGAUCAAGGCAAUUCGCGAAGUCUUGCCAAACGUGUGGCACCGUAUAUGUACGUGGCACGUAGAGAAAAAUAUGAAGAUUCACCUCAGUCACAAGUCCUUGAAGGAGUUCCGAACUCUUCUG
rnacentral:rRNA from 1 species